rnacentral:rRNA from 1 species
CCUACGGGGUGCAGCAGUGGGGGAUAUUGGACAAUGGGGGGAACCCUGAUCCAGCGACGCCGCGUGAGUGAAGAAGUAUUUCGGUAUGUAAAGCUCUGUCAGCAGGGAAGAAAGAAAUGACGGUACCUGACCAAGAAGCCCCGGCUAACUACGUGCCAGCAGCCGCGGUAAUACGUAGGGGGCAAGCGUUAUCCGGAUUUACUGGGUGUAAAGGGAGCGUAGACGGCAGCACAAGUCUGGAGUGAAAUGCCGGGGCUUAACCCCGGAACUGCUUUGGAAACUGUGCAGCUAGAGUGCAGGAGAGGUAAGUGGAAUUCCUAGUGUAGCGGUGAAAUGCGUAGAUAUUAGGAGGAACACCAGUGGCGAAGGCGGCUUACUGGACUGUAACUGACGUUGAGGCUCGAAAGCGUGGGGAGCAAACAGGAUUAGAUACCCUUGUAGUC